AGAGUUUGAUCCUGGCUCAGGAUGAACGCUGGCGGCGUGCCUAAUACAUGCAAGUCGAGCGAAUGGAUUGAGAGCUUGCUCUCAAGAAGUUAGCGGCGGACGGGUGAGUAACACGUGGGUAACCUGCCCAUAAGACUGGGAUAACUCCGGGAAACCGGGGCUAAUACCGGAUAACAUUUUGAACUGCAUGGUUCGAAAUUGAAAGGCGGCUUCGGCUGUCACUUAUGGAUGGACCCGCGUCGCAUCAGCUAGUUGGUGAGGUAACGGCUCACCAAGGCAACGAUGCGUAGCCGACCUGAGAGGGUGAUCGGCCACACUGGGACUGAGACACGGCCCAGACUCCUACGGGAGGCAGCAGUAGGGAAUCUUCCGCAAUGGACGAAAGUCUGACGGAGCAACGCCGCGUGAGUGAUGAAGGCUUUCGGGUCGUAAAACUCUGUUGUUAGGGAAGAACAAGUGCUAGUUGAAUAAGCUGGCACCUUGACGGUACCUAACCAGAAAGCCACGGCUAACUACGUGCCAGCCGCCGCGGUAAUUC
rnacentral:rRNA from 1 species